UACGUAGGUGGCAAGCGUUAUCCGGAAUUAUUGGGCGUAAAGCGCGCGCAGGUGGUUUCUUAAGUCUGAUGUGAAAGCCCACGGCUCAACCGUGGAGGGUCAUUGGAAACUGGGGGACUUGAGUACAGAAGAGGAAAGCGGAAUUCCACGUGUAGCGGUGAAAUGCGUAGAGAUGUGGAGGAACACCAGUGGCGAAGGCGGCUUUCUGGUCUGUAACUGACGCUGAGGCGCGAAAGCGUGGGGAGCAAACAGG
rnacentral:rRNA from 1 species